UAGAAACACAACUCAAUUCAUACCAUUUUAGAAUCAAAAUCCUCACCGCAACCCUAGCUCAAUUUCCCCAAUUUCACGAUAUUGACUCGCAUUAUGCGUUCCUCUCUCUCGCCGUCGUGGUGUUCUUCACUGCUCUGCUCACGUCGUGUUAUGCUUGCAUCGCAUUCUACUAUGCUCGUGUCAUGUGCUUCUUCUCGCAUCGUGUUCUGCUCUGCUCCGCCAUGUUCGAUCUUCAGCUCGUGUCAUUCUGAAACACUCACUUUGCUCUGCCGUGGUGUUGUUCACAUCUUUCUCUCAAAUUUCUCAGGGAUUGAAAUUUAAUUAUUGUUGGUGGAAUCUCAAUUUGGGAAUUUAACAGUGGAUUCAUUGUUAUUGUAGAUGUUGGAGUUGGCUGGGAAUUUCUUCAGUUCAAUUGAGUUAGCGCUAAGUUUUUCGCCAUGCUUCCAAUUACGUUCACUUCUUUUUUUCUGCUUCUCUCUUUGCAAAUUAGAUCUAUAAUUUGGACAGCACAGGCUUUGCAAUUCUCUUGCAGUUUCAUUUAAGCUCUAUGAUUUGGACAGCACAGGCUUUAUAGAAUGCCAAGAGGUGCUAUUAGAUUGAUUCUUUGGACACUUUGGCUAUACUCGGUGACCAUGACCGCUUUGCCGCUUCCGUUGAAUGGAUUGGUAAAAAUAUUCGCUUUGAUAUUAACAAAACUGUUUCUUUGUUUGAGACGACAAUCAGAGUUCUUGGAGGAUUGCUUUCGGCUCAUCUUAUAGCCAAUGAUUAUGCUACGGGAUGUGAUGAUUGGUGCCGUUCCAAGCUACGAGGAGCCGUAUAUUCAAGUUCCAAGGGUCUUAAGUAUGGACUAAAAACUUUAUAAAGCUGGUGAUCACCACUUUAGUUCUCAGAAGGCAAGAGUUAUAGCAAUUGAUGCUAAAACUACCCAAGACACUAAACUAUGUUUGUUUUGGAGCAUUUGAUUGUUUUCGAUAAGUUGAAGGUUUUGUUUUCAAUUUUCUAAUCUCCAAAAAGAAAGAAACAUUCUAGAUAUGUCCUAUGUGCCAAUAUAUACUACUGACUAUGAAUAUGAAUAGUUGAUACUACGUCCAAUGCAUUAAUCCAUGCCUCGGCUCAGGGAAUCUUAAUAGGGACCUUAGCAAACCAUUUAUUGAUAAUUCAUUGAAGGUGGAGCAGAGGCUGAAAUAAACUCAUAGUGAAGUUGACUCGGUGAAAGACCUGAAUGAAUCAAUCCUUCUUCAGAUAUAUAAAAAGGAUAAUUUUGACAUAAUAGAUGGUGAAAAGUAGAUAUGUGUGAACUUCUCAGAUGAAGAACAUGAAAACAAAGGAAAAGGAUGAGAGCUGUGAAGCUGUUAAAAGCGAUGCAUCUGAAAGGGAAGAUGCAACUGACGAGAUUUAGCAUAUGGGACAAGUCAAGCAUGGAUAUAAAAUAUGCAAGUAGAUUGACAUCUUUUUUACAAAUAUUAAUUACUAUUUUGUUAUGUAUUGUUAGAUAAAAAUUUUAUUAUUUUGUCAAGAAUUAUUGAUGAACACGUAUUUGAAAUACUAAUUGAACCUUUUAAUAUCUAUUUUAAUUUUUACUUUA